rnacentral:rRNA from 1 species
AGCGAACGUUUGCGGCGGGCCUAACACAUGCAAGUCGAACGCACUAGCAAUAGUGAGUGGCGCACGGGUGCGUAACACGUGGGUAAUCAACCCUUCAGCUUGGGAUAACGACUUGAAAGGGUCGCUAAUACCGGAUACGGCGCGGGAGGCUUCGGCUUCUCACGAGAAAGCCUCGCAAGGGGCACUGAAGGACGAGCCUGCGGCCCAUCAGCUAGUUGGUGAGGUAAGAGCUCACCAAGGCGAAGACGGGUAGCUGGUCUGAGAGGAUGAUCAGCCACACUGGAACUGAGACACGGUCCAGACUCCUACGGGAGGCAGCAGUGGGGAAUAUUGCGCAAUGGGCGAAAGCCUGACGCAGCCACGCCGCGUGAGCGAUGAAGGCCUCGGUCGUAAGACUCUGUGGGGAGGAGGACGAAGAAAGACCGUCGAAGAGACGGGCCGUUGACGGUAGUCUCCUUAGUCAAGCACCGGCUAACUCCGUGCCAGCAGCCGCGGUAA